GCCAUCCACUGGAGGUGCCGUUGUGAACGGCUGAGAUCAAAGUAAACUUUGGGAUUCCUGGAACCUGAUCUAGUUGAUACUAGCGUAGGAAAGUGGUCGCCUAUUAUU
rnacentral:ncRNA from 2 species